GUACUGAUGAAGAGUCCCAAACUAGGACGAAACAGCCGCCCAGUAC
rfam:Trichobilharzia regenti genome assembly, scaffold: TRE_contig0010951